UUUUUUCAAGCAAUGAAUAUUGUAAAUAAAAUUGCCUUGAUCAUCUAUAACUUUAGGAUCAGGAGCCUCACUUUUGAAUCAUCACUUGGCUCACCGGAAAUGCAAACUGACCAAAUCUUUCUUAGAAAGGCCAAGCAUGCUGUGACAAAACUUCUAUGGUCAACAAUCAACUUUGUAAAUCUUAUAAAUGUGGCUUCUAUUUUAUCAAAAGUCUCCAAUAACUCUUUUCUUGACCAAAAGUGUAGUGCUACUCUUCUAGAAAAUGAGAUCAUCUAUGACAGAUUUUGACUAUGACUACUUUGGCUUCAAAACUCUUGAGAGGUCGUACCUUUUGAAGGUUGGUAGGAACAUUGUUGUAAGACCACAACACAUAUGGAUGAGGGUUGCCGUUGGUAUCCACAAAGAUGACAUUGACUCUGUUGUCGAAACAUACCACUUGAUGUCUCAGUGUUGGUUCACACAUGCUACACCUACCCUUUUCAAUGCUGGAACCACCCAACCACAAGUAUGUUUAUUGCAUAUCAUUAUUUAACAUGAUUUUAGAUUUUUAUCUUCUGAAUAUUUCUUAUAUUGUCUUAUUCCUUUCCUCCAACUCUCUAUCUCCCCUUCCUUUGGUUGAUAUGGCAGUUGAGUAGCAUUUUUCUUGUGUGCAUGAAAUAUUAUAGCAUCAAGGACAUAUUUGAUACUUGGAAGAAGUGUGCUCUUAUUAGCAAGUUAGCUGGAGGAAUUGGUCUUUCUGUAUAUAAUAUUCAUUCUACAGGAAGUUAUAUCAGUGGGACAAAUGGGCAUUCCAAUGGCAUUAUUCCUAUGCUAUGAGUUUUUAAUGACACUGCUCACUAUGUUGAUCAAGGAGGAGGCACGAGGAAAGGCAAAGUCGCAAAUCUUAUAAUCAUAAUUGUUAUGUUUAGGUCAUACACACACAUACUCUCAUGUAAUAAUACAUGUGCAGCCAUGAGUAAUUUUUGUUUUGUUUUAGGUGCUUUGCCGUAUGUUUGAAGCCAUCGCAUGCAGAUAUCUUGGAGGUUCUAGAUCUUAGGAAAAACCAUGGAAAGGAUUCUUUCAAUAGGAAAACCAACCAGCAGAAUUGGGGCACUGGAAAGUCCUCAAACCUGUGCCCUGAGAUUAUUGAGUUCACAAGUCCAAUGAAAACUGCAGUUUACAGUCUGGCAUCCAUUGCUCUACCAUGAUAUGUCAGGGAAAGGGGGGAGCUGAUUGAGUCCAUUCCUCUAAGCUGGUUGGAGUGCAGGGUCUUGCAGAUAUUUUUAUUCUGCUUGGCAUGCCGUUUGUUUCACCAGAGGUAUUAACUUGCUCCUGCUGCAAAUGAUUAAGCGUUGACUCCUUGGCUUAGUUUGACUGGGUGCUUGGUCUGUUUCAUACUGGCCCAAAAGCUAAACAGACAUAUUUUAGACUAAUGUACUACCAUGCGCUGAAAUCUUCUUCUGAGUUGGCUGCGAAAAAUGGUCCAUAUGAGACAUAUCUUGGGAGCCCUGUGAGCAAGGUCUGGAUCUCUGAGCUUUUCAAUUUUCAUGAAAUUAUGCCAAAGGGAUAUGCAAAAGAUGGAAAAUCACAGUGUCAUAUUGUUAAUACUGAGAAGAUGUUCUACUCUGUAUUGUAUACCUUGACAUAAUUCUGACCAACACCAGUCAGAAAACUCUCAGGGCAAUGAGGUUGAGCCUUAAAGUUUAUGCUUGUUCCAUUCAUUGUUCAUUUAUUAAAAAAAAAUGGGCUAAUCUUCAUUUGAUUUGAAUGGUGGACAUGGUCUAGGCUGUACUAUUGUACAUGUAACUCUUGAGAAAUUUUAUGGACAAAAGGUGUGUUUGAUAUUGUUAAUGGAGCUGUUAUUGGGAAACACACAUCCUUAAAUAUGUUAGUUAGAGGAUAUUAAAACUUGUUUUAAAGUUAAAUUUGACAUAUUUUAGUUAUAAGAACUUGAAAAACAACUGAACAACUUUUUUAAACAUCUAAAAUUAUGUUUUUUUAAAACACACUUUUUUGGCCUCCCAACCUCAACCUUAAAUGGUGCCCAAGGGUGUAACUUUGCAUUUCUUUCCUCGUUCAUCAGGUUUUCUUAGUAUCAUACAUCGUGUGAAGGAACUGUACAUGACACAGCCUUUUGAAAGCUUUACAGGUUAAAUUCUAUUAAAUGUAAAUUAUAUGCCCGCAAAGAAGAUGUAUAUAUAAAUGAGAAGCAAUAGUAAAAUAAGUGCUAGAUCUUUAGCUGCCUUUCUUCUUUAUCUUCUGGGAAUUCUUCAGAUGGACAUUUGGGGUGUGAUGCCAUCAGAUAGAUGGGAUUGAGAUGCUCUCAGGGAAAUGAUCUUGAAGAAUGGGAUAAGAAAUUCCCUUUUGGUAGCACCUAUGCCCACUGUUUCAACAAACCAGAUUCUUGGCAACAAUGAGUGUUUUGAACCUUAUGCCUCUAAUAUUCAUAGCUGCAGAGUUUUAAGGUUUGCUUUUAUCUAUUAAACUUAGUUUUUUAAAGUGUGUAUCUGCAGCCAUCUAAUUCCUCAUUUUCGGUGGUGAAUUUGUUGUGGUGAGCAAACCUCCACCAUGACUUAACAGAGACUGGUCUUUGGUCACAUUCUCCUAUAUACAAGAUAAUUUAUGAGAAUGCUCUGUUGCGAAAAUUCCUAGGAUUCUGGGGCAACUCAAAGCUAUCUGCAAGUAUAUCUUUUCCCUGUCUGUAUUAUGUUUCUUAUUUACGAUUUCUUAUUAUCAAGCUAAGGCAGUAGCGCAGCAUAAUUUUAGGAUAGUGUGGGAAAUCAUGCAAAAGACAUUGGUUGAUAUGGCUGUUAACCAGGGUUUCUUCAUAGACCAGAGUCAAAGUCUGAAUAUUCACAUGGAACAACCUGAUCUUGUGAAACUAAUUUCUCGGUCUAAGGGCCUGAAAACCAGAAUGUACCAUCUGGAACAUGUGCUGCGGCUGAUGCAAUCAAGUUUGCAGUCGAUACAUAUGUUCUCAAACAUGAAAAUGUUAAUAGGAUAAACAUGAUGUCAAUACUGAUAUGGCACAAGUGGUGUGCUUAUUGAAAACAAAAGAAUGAAUGUCCUGUGGCGGUUGAACUGUUGAAGUGCAAAUGUGUGGUCAUCUAUCGGUAACAAUCAACUGCAAGUUAGAAUUGAAGAGCUUUGGACCAUGUAAAAGCAACAUUCUGUAAGUGCACACCUGGUCGAUCAUGAACCCAACUCUUCAAGGAUGUAUAAUGUCUUUGAGUUUUUAAUUGCUCAUGUAAAUGAGGGUGUUAUGAACUGGCUAGUACUGUUUUUUGCAAAGGCGCAUGGCUGUUAGGCUCAGGAUAGAGAACUACAUGAACAAGUUUGAAUAUAAAGGACGUGUUCUUA